CUUUUAUUUCUAAUUUGGAUAAUUUGGAGAUUAAUUGAUCCAUAAGUGUUUUAUUAUCAUCGCCUAUAUGAAAUUUUUCUUUAUUCAAGUCAGGAGGAGGUUUAAAAAAUAAUUGUUUUUUCUCCUUAUAAAUGGGAGGAUGUAAUAAGUUUUCUAUUCUAUUAGUUUGUUGUCCAAGUGUAUGGAGGCAGAGAUUUGUAUAAUUAUUUUGUUCAAUUAUAUGUGGAAGUAAUUCUAUACGAG
rnacentral:lncRNA from 1 species